rnacentral:rRNA from 1 species
AGUGAACGCUGGCGGUAGGCCUAACACAUGCAAGUCGAACGGCAGCACAGGAGAGCUUGCUCUCUGGGUGGCGAGUGGCGGACGGGUGAGGAAUACAUCGGAAUCUACUUUUUCGUGGGGGAUAACGUAGGGAAACUUACGCUAAUACCGCAUACGACCUACGGGUGAAAGCAGGGGAUCUUCGGACCUUGCGCGAUUGAAUGAGCCGAUGUCGGAUUAGCUAGUUGGCGGGGUAAAGGCCCACCAAGGCGACGAUCCGUAGCUGGUCUGAGAGGAUGAUCAGCCACACUGGAACUGAGACACGGUCCAGACUCCUACGGGAGGCAGCAGUGGGGAAUAUUGGACAAUGGGCGCAAGCCUGAUCCAGCCAUACCGCGUGGGUGAAGAAGGCCUUCGGGUUGUAAAGCCCUUUUGUUGGGAAAGAAAUCCAGCUGGUUAAUACCCGGUUGGGAUGACGGUACCGUAAGAAUAAGCACCGGCUAACUACGUGCCAGCCGCCGCUGUAA